CCACCAUCUACCCGCCUGACCGCCUGGGUCCGCCUCCUCGAGUCUUGGUCACCAAGACGCAUGCGUGCACCCUCACCUGCGUGCCCACACACAUGAGCAGGUUGAGAAAUCCAACUGCCCCCCUCCCCCCGCCCCAGGAUGGCCUCGGUACACUGAAAAGAUGCACACACCGAGUUCAUCUUCAUUCUCCUCCCCAUCUCAGCAUCACCUAUGUUGCUCAAGCAGAAACCUAGAAUCACCCUUGAUUCCUUGUAUCACCUGCCUCGGAGCCCUGGCGAUCCAGCCUGCGGAAACCUUUCAGAAUUACCAGUCCCCAGGUAACACCAGGGUGAGAGGAGCAUGGGAACAUCACCACAGGGAAGCCAACAUUCAGAUCUGAAACAGACAUUCUACAGGACAACUGGCCUGGUAUCUUUAACAAGUCCGUGUCAGGGCAGAAGGAAAGGAAGGGGGUUGUCAAGGGAGAUUUAAGAGACAACCAAAUGCAAUGAAUGCAUAGGACUGGAUCCUGGUUUGAACCGGCUGUGAGAGACUUGUCUUAAGAUAAUGGGGAAAAUUUGACUAUGGCUUGGAUCUUAGAGGAUAUUAAAGCAUUAAUGUUAAUUUUGUUAGAUAUAAUAAUGGUACCAUGGUGAUAGAGAAAAAGAUCAUUUUUGAUCAUUUUUAAGAGGUGCAUGCUGAAGUUUUCAAGGGUGAAAUAUAAUGAACUCUGGCAUUUGUAACUUUUAUAAUUUUAUUCUUGGCAAAAAAGAUAGAACAUGGAAAACAGUAACUGUUGAAUCUAGCUAAUAAGUAUAAUUAUAUUCACUUCAGUAUUCUUUUUUGUAUGUUUGAAAAAUUUCGUAAUAGAAAGAAAAAAAACCCUCAGACUUUUUUUUUUUUUUCUAUUCUUCAUCCUCAGUGUUACUACUUCACAAGGUAUUCAUUAUUUCUUAUCUGCAAACAGACCGGCCCUUCCAGCUCUCCCCUAUUCCCAAUCUGUCAUAGACAAAGGAAUUUCUCUCCCUUUAAGAUACAGUUCUGGGGCCAGGGAUUCUGAAAUAUAGCAGCUUAAACAUGCCCUGCUUCUCUUCUUCUCCCAGCUGCUACCCUCUACUGCCCAAACCAAGUGGGAGCUGGUGCAGGUGAGUGGGCAGGACCUGGCUGGCACAGGUGAGAGGUCCUGAGACAGAGGCUGGGACCCGGGAGACCCUGGUGUAGACUGCCCCUGCCACGGGACUUCACCUAGGGUGAAGGCAG